rnacentral:rRNA from 1 species
UACGUAGGGCGCAAGCGUUGUCCGGAAUUAUUGGGCGUAAAGAGCUCGUAGGCGGCCUGUUGCGUCCGCUGUGAAAUCCCGGGGCUUAACCCCGGGCGUGCAGUGGAUACGGGCAGGCUGGAGGCAGGCAGGGGAGAACGGAAUUCCCGGUGUAGCGGUGAAAUGCGCAGACAUCGGGAGGAACACCGGUGGCGAAGGCGGUUCUCUGGGCCUGUACUGACGCUGAGGAGCGAAAGCGUGGGGAGCGAACAGG